rnacentral:rRNA from 1 species
GCUUGCUCCUCUGAUCAGUGGCGAACGGGUGAGUAACACGUGAGCAAUCUGCCCUUGACUCUGGGAUAACUGCGGGAAACUGUAGCUAAUACCGGAUAUGACCCUCGGAGGCAUCUCCUGGGGGUGGAAAGAAUUUUGGUCAAGGAUGAGCUCGCGGCCUAUCAGCUAGUUGGUGAGGUAAUGGCUCACCAAGGCGACGACGGGUAGCCGGCCUGAGAGGGUGACCGGCCACACUGGGACUGAGACACGGCCCAGACUCCUACGGGAGGCAGCAGUGGGGAAUAUUGCACAAUGGGCGAAAGCCUGAUGCAGCAACGCCGCGUGAGGGACGAAGGCCUUCGGGUUGUAAACCUCUUUUAGUAGGGAAGAAGCGAGGUGUUUUUUCACUUCAUGACGGUACCUGCAGAAAAAGCACCGGCUAACUACGUGCCAGCAGCCGCGGUAAUACGUAGGGUGCAAGCGUUGUCCGGAAUUAUUGGGCGUAAAGAGCUCGUAGGCGGUUUGUCGCGUCUGCUGUGAAAACCCGAGGCUCAACCUCGGGCCUGCAGUGGGUACGGGCAGACUAGAGUGCGGUAGGGGAGAUUGGAAUUCCUGGUGUAGCGGUGGAAUGCGCAGAUAUCAGGAGGAACACCAAUGGCGAAGGCAGAUCUCUGGGCCGUAACUGACGCUGAGGAGCGAAAGCAUGGGGAGCGAACAGGAUUAGAUACCCUGGUAGUCCAUGCCGUAAACGUUGGGAACUAGAUGUGGGGACCAUUCCACGGUCUCCGUGUCGCAGCUAACGCAUUAAGUUCCCCGCCUGGGGAGUACGGCCGCAAGGCUAAAACUCAAAGGAAUUGACGGGGGCCCGCACAAGCGGCGGAGCAUGCGGAUUAAUUCGAUGCAACGCGAAGAACCUUACCAAGGCUUGACAUAUAGAGGAAACGGCUGGAAACAGUCGCCCCGCAAGGUCUCUAUACAGGUGGUGCAUGGUUGUCGUCAGCUCGUGUCGUGAGAUGUUGGGUUAAGUCCCGCAACGAGCGCAACCCUCGUCCUAUGUUGCCAGCACGUAAUGGUGGGAACUCAUGGGAUACUGCCGGGGUC